rnacentral:rRNA from 1 species
GUAGGUGGCAAGCGUUAUCCGGAAUUAUUGGGCGUAAAGCACGCGCAGGUGGUUUCUUAAGUCUGAUGUGAAAGCCCACGGCUCAACCGUGGAGGGUCAUUGGAAACUGGGAGACUUGAGUGCAGAAGAGGAAAGUGGAAUUCCAUGUGUAGCGGUGAAAUGCGUAGAGAUAUGGAGGAACACCAGUGGCGAAGGCGACUUUCUGGUCUGUAACUGACACUGAGGCGCGAAAGCGUGGGGAGCAAACAGGAUUAGAUACCCUGGUAGUCCACGCCGUAAACGAUGNGUGCUNAGUGUUAGAGGGUUUCCGCCCUUUAGUGCUGAAGUUAACGCAUUAAGCACUCCGCCUGGGGAGU